rnacentral:rRNA from 1 species
AAUAGAUACCCGGGUAGUCCACGCCGUAAACGAUGAGUGCUAAGUGUUGGGGGGUUUCCGCUCCUCAGUGCUGCAGCUAACGCAUUAAGCACUCCGCCUGGGGAGUACGGUCGCAAGACUGAAACUCAAAGGAAUUGACGGGGGCCCGCACAAGCGGUGGAGCAUGUGGUUUAAUUCGAAGCAACGCGAAGAACCUUACCAGGUCUUGACAUCCCGGUGACCACUAUGGAGACAUAGUUUCCCCUUCGGGGGCAACGGUGACAGGUGGUGCAUGGUUGUCGUCAGCUCGUGUCGUGAGAUGUUGGGUUAAGUCCCGCAACGAGCGCAACCCUUAUUCUUAGUUGCCAUCAUUCAGUUGGGCACUCUAAGGAGACUGCCGGUGAUAAACCGGAGGAAGGUGGGGAUGACGUCAAAUCAUCAUGCCCCUUAUGACCUGGGCUACACACGUGCUACAAUGGACGGUACAAACGGUUGCCAACCCGGCGAGGGGGAGCUAAUCCGAUAAAACCGUUCUCAGUUCGGAUUGUAGGCUGCAACUCGCCUAC